rnacentral:rRNA from 1 species
UACAGAGGUCCCAAGCGUUGUUCGGAAUCAUUGGGCGUAAAGGGCGCGUAGGCGGCCAGCACAAGUCAGUUGUGAAAUCUCCGGGCUUAACUCGGAAAGGUCAACUGAUACUGUGCGGCUAGAGUGCAGAAGGGGCAACUGGAAUUCUCGGUGUAGCGGUGAAAUGCGUAGAUAUCGAGAGGAACACCUGCGGCGAAGGCGGGUUGCUGGGCUGACACUGACGCUGAUGCGCGAAAGCCAGGGGAGCGAACGGG